GUCUCGCACCAUUCCGAGUCCGGCGGACGAAGUUGGCCAGCCCCACCCCCCACGGCUAUAGCCCACCCGUUUUUGUGGGCUUUUUCCGCUGGACGAACUUGGCGUCCCGGCCUUCGGGCGGUUAUUUUUGGGCGCGGCUGAGUCCUUGGCCUAUUUUUGGUGCACGGAGGUGCCUCGCAAAGGCUCGCGCCAUUCCGAGUCCGGCGGACGAAGUUGGCCAACCCCACCCUCCAAGGCUAUAGCCCACCCGUUUUUGUGGCCUUUUUCCGCUGGAUGAACUUGGCGCCCCGGCCUUCGGGUGGUUAUUUUUGGGCGCGGCUAUGCCCACGGCCUAUUUUUGACACAUGGAGGUGCCUCGCAAUGUCUCGCGCCAUUCCGAGUCCGGCGGACGAAGUUGGCCAGCCCCACCCCCAAAGGCUAUAGCCCACCCGUUUUUGUGGCCUUUUUCCGCUGGACGAACUUGGCGCCCCGUCCUUCGGGCGGUUAUUUUUGGGCGCGGCUGUUCCCACGGCCUAUUUUUGGCACACGGAGGUGCCUCGCAAAGUCUCACGCCAUUCCGAGUGCUGCGGACGAAUUUGGCCAGCCCCACCCCCCAAGGCUAUAGCCCACCCGUUUUUGUGCCCUUUUUCCACUGGACGAACUUGGCGCCCCGGCCUUCGGGCGGUUAUUUUUGGGCGCGGCUGUGCCUGCGGCCUAUUUUCGGCACACGGAGGUGCCUCGCAAAGUCUCGCACCAUUCCGAGUCCGGCAGACGAAGUUGGCCAGCCCCACCCCCCAAGGUUAUAGCCCACCCGUUUUUGUUGCCUUUUUCCGCUAGACGAACUUGGCGCCCCGGCCUUCGGGCGAGUAUUUUUGAGCACUGCUGUGCCCGCGGCCUAUUUUUGGCACAAGGAGGCACCUCGCAAGGUCUCUCUCCAUUCCGAGUCCAGCGGACGAAGUUGGCGAGCCCCACCCCCCAAGGCUAUAGCCCACCCGUUUUUGUGGCCUUUUUCCGCUGGACGAACUUGGCGCCCCGGCCUUCGGGUGGUUAUUUUUGGGUGCGGCUGUGCCCGCGGACUAUUUUUAGCACACGGAGGUGCCUUUCAAAGUCUCACGCCAUUCCGAGUCCGGCUGACGAAGUUGGCCAGCCGCACCCCCCAAGGCUAUAGCCCACCCGUUUUUGUGGCCUUUUUCCGCUGGACGAACUUGCCGCCACGACCUUCGGGCGUUAUUUGUGGGCGCGGCUGAGUCCGGGUCCUAUUUUUGGCGCACGGAGGUGCCUCGCAAAGUCUCGCGCCAUUCCGAGUCCGGAAGACGAAGGUUGGCCAGCCCCACCCUCCAAGGCUAUCGCCCACCCGUUUUUGUGGCCUUUUUCCGCUGGAUGAACUUGGCGCCCCGGCCUUCGGGUGGUUAUUUUUGGGCGCGGCUGUGCCCACGGCCUAUUUUUGGCACACGGAGGCACCUCGCAAAGUCUCGCACCAUUCCGAGUCCGGCGGACGAAGUUGGCCAGCCCCACCCCCCACGGCUAUAGCCCACCCGUUUUUGUCGGCUUUUUCCGCUGGACGAACUUGGCGCCCCGGCCUUCGGGCUGUUAUUUUUGUGCGCGGCUGUGCCCGCGGCCUAUUUUUGGCACACGGAGGCACCUCGCAAGGUCUCUCUCCAUUCCGAGUCCGGUGGACGAAGUUGGCAAGCCCCACCCCCCAAGGCCAUAGCCCACCCGUUUUUGUGGCCUUUUUCCUGGACGAACUUGGCGUCCCGGCCUUCGGGAGGUUAUUUUUGGGCGCGGCUGUGCCCGCGGCCUAUUUUUGGUACACAGUGGUGGCUCGCAAAGUGUCGCGCCAUUCCGAAUCCGGCGGACAAAGUUCGCCAGCCCCACCCCCCAACGCUAUAGCCCACCCGUUUUUGUGGCCUUUUUCCGCUGGACGAACUUGGCGCCCCGGCCUUCGGGCGGUUAUUUUUGGGUGCGGCUGUGCCCGCGGCCUAUUUUUGGCACACGGAGGUGCCUUGCAACGUCUCGCCCCAUUCCAAGUCCGGCGGACGAAGUGGGCCAGCCCCACCCCCCAAGGCUAUAGCCCACCCGUUUUUGUGGCCUUUUUCCGCUGGAUGAACUUGGCGCCCCGGCUUCCGGGCGGUUAUUUUUGGGCGCGGCUUUUUCCGCGGCCAAUUUUUGGCACACGGAGGUGCCUCGCCAAGUCUCGCGCCAUUCCGAGUCCGGCGGACGAAAUUGGCCAGCCCCACCCCCCAAGGCUAUAGCCCACCCGUUUUUGUGGCCUUUUUCCGCUGGACAAACUUUGUGCCCCGGCCUNNNNNNNNNNNNNNNNNNNNNNNNNNNNNNNNNNNNNNNNNNNNNNNNNNNNNNNNNNNNNNNNNNNNNNNNNNNNNNNNNNNNNNNNNNNNNNNNNNNNNNNNNNNNNNNNNNNNNNNNNNNNNNNNNNNNNNNNNNNNNNNNNNNNNNNNNNNNNNNNNNGAACUUGGCACCCCGGCCUUCGGGCGGUUAUUUUUGGGUGCGGCUGUGCCUGCGGCCUAUUUUUGGCACACAGAGGUGCCUCGCAAAGUCUCGCGCCAUUCCGAGUCCGGCGGACGAAGUUGGCGAGCCCCACCCCCCAAGGCUAUAGCCCACCCGUUUUUGUGGCCUUUUUCCGCUGGACGAACUUGGCGCCCCGGCCUUCGGGUGGUUAUUUUUGGGUGCGGCUGUGCCCGCGGACUAUUUUUAGCACACGGAGGUGCCUUUCAAAGUCUCACGCCAUUCCGAGUCCGGCUGACGAAGUUGGCCAGCCGCACCCCCCAAGGCUAUAGCCCACCCGUUUUUGUGGCCUUUUUCCGCUGGACGAACUUGGCGCCACGACCUUCGGGCAUUAUUUGUGGGCACGGCUGAGUCCGGGUCCUAUUUUUGGCGCACGGAGGUGCCUCGCAAAGUCUCGCGCCAUUCCGAGUCCGGCGGACGAAGUUGGCCAACCCCACCCUCCAAGGCUAUCGCCCACCCGUUUUUGUGGCCUUUUUCCGCUGGAUGAACUUGGCGCCCCGGCCUUCGGGUAGUUAUUUUUGGGCGCGGCUGUGCACACGGCCUAUUUUUGACACAUGGAGGUGCCUCGCAAAGUCUCGCGCCAUUCCGAGUCCGGCGGACGAAGUUGGCCAGCCCCACCCCCCAAGGCUAUAGCCCACCCGUUUUUGUGGCCUUUUUCCGCUGGACGAACUGGGCGCCCCGUCCUUCGGGCGGUUAUUUUUGGGCGCGGCUGUUCCCACGGCCUAUUUUUGGCACACGGAGGUGCCUCGCAAAGUCUCGCGCCAUUCCGAGUGCUGCGGACGAAUUUGGCCAACCCCACGCCCCAAGGCUAUAGCCCACCCGUUUUUGUGGCCUUUUUCCGCUGGACGAACUUGGCACCCCGGCCUUCGGGCGGUUAUUUUUGGGUACGGCUGUGCCUGCGGCCUAUUUUUGGCACACAGAGGUGCCUCGCAAAGUCUCGCGCCAUUCCGAGUCCGGCGGACGAAGUUGGCCAGCCCCACCCCCCAAGGUUAUAGCCCACCCGUUUUUGUGGCUUUUUCCGCUAGACGAACUUGGCGCCCCGGCCUUCGGGUGGGUAUUUUUGAGCACUGCUGUGCCCGCGGCCUAUUUUUGGCACACGGAGGCACCUCGCAAGGUCUCUCUCCAUUCCGAGUCCGGCGGACGAAGUUGGCAAGCCCCACCCGCCAAGGCUAUAGCCCACCCGUUUUUGUGGCCUUUUUCCUGGACGAACUUGGCGUCCCGGCCUUCGGGAGGUUAUUUUUGGGCGCGGCUGUGCCCGCGGCCUAUUUUUGGUACACAGUGGUGGCUCGCAAAGUGUCGCGCCAUUCCGAAUCCGGCGGACAAAGUUGGCCAGCCCCACCCCCCAACGCUAUAGCCCACCCGUUUUUGUGGCCUUUUUCCGCUGGACGAACUUGGCGCCCCGGCCUUCGGGCGGCUAUUUUUGGGCGCGGCUGUGCCCGCGGCCUAUUUUUGGCACACGGAGGUGCCUUGCAACGUCUCGCCCCAUUCCAAGUCCGGCGGACGAAGUGGGCCAGCCCCACCCCCCAAGGCUAUAGCCCACCCGUUUUUGUGGCCUUUUUCCGCUGGAUGAACUUGGCGCCCCGGCUUCCGGGCGGUUAUUUUUGGGCGCGGCUUUUUCCGCGGCCAAUUUUUGGCACACGGAGGUGCCUCGCCAAGUCUCGCGCCAUUCCGAGUCCGGCGGACGAAAUUGGCCAGCCCCACCCCCCAAGGAUAUAGCCCACCCGUUUUUGUGGCCUUUUUUCCGCUGGACAAACUUUGUGCCCCGGCCUUCGGGCGGUUAUUUUUGGGCGCGGUUGUGCCCGCGGCCUAUUUUUGGCACACGGAGGCGCCUCGUAAAGUCUCGCGCCAUUCCGAGUCCGGCGGAGGAAAUGGGCCAGCCCCCCCCCCACAAGGCUAUAGCCCACCCGUUUUUGUGGCCUUUUUCCGCUGGACGAACUUGGCGGCCCGGCCUUCGGGCGGUUAUUUUUGGUCGCGGCUGUGCCCGCGGCCUAUUUUUGGCACACGGACGCGCCUCGCAAAGUCUCACGGCAUUCCGAGUCCGGCGGACGAAGUCGGCCAGCCCCACCCCCCAAGGUUAUAGCCCACCCGUUUUUGUGGCCUUUUUCCGCUAGACGAACUUGGCGCCCCGCCCUUCGGGCGGGUAUUUUUGAGCACUGCUGUGCCUGCGGCCUAUUUUUGUCACACGGAGGCACCUAGCAAGGUCUCUCUCCAUUCCGAGUCCGGCGGACGAAGUUGGCCAGCCCCACCCCCCAAGGCUAUAGCCCACCCGUUUUUGUGGGCUUUUUCUGCUGGACGAACUUGGCGCCCCGGCCUUCGGGUGGUUAUUUUUGGACGCGGCUGUGCCCGCAGUCUAUUUUUGGCACACGGAGGCGCCUCACAAAGUCUCGCGACAUUCCGAGUCCGGCGGACAAAGUUGCCCAGCCCCACCCCCCAAGGCUAUAGCCCACCCGUUUUUGUGGCCUUUUUCCGCUGGACGAACUUGGCGUCCCGGGCUUCAGGCGGUUAUUUUUGGGCGUGGCUGUGCCCGUGGCCUAUUUUUGGCACACAGAGGUGCCUCGCAAAGUCUCGCGCCAUUCCGAGUCCGGCGGACGAAGUGGGCCAGCCCCACCCCCAAGGCUAUAGCCCACCCGUUUUUGAGGCCUUUUUCCGCUGGACGAACUUGGCGCCCCGGCCUUCGGGAGGUUAU
rnacentral:lncRNA from 1 species